rnacentral:sRNA from 1 species
CUAACACAAUCAAAGCAUUUCUCUCCAAACACUGUGCUGACCACCCAAACAAUUGGGAUGAUCACCUAUCAGCUGUUUCAUUUGCCUUCAAUGUAACUCACUUGAAAGUCUUUAUCUCUUGCAAGGUUCAGUAGUGGCAGAUCAUGACUACAUUGGAUUGCCUGAAAUUCCGGUUGGAGCAUAUCAAGCAAAUAUUCUGGUGGAAGAUGCAACUAUUGGUAUAGUCGAUAAUGAAUUACUGACAUCAAGCAAGGAUCGUGAACUAUUAGAAUAUAGAAAUACGAAAAUCUCUCCAUUGAUAGACGAUCAUAGUUCUCUUGAAAAGCAGACUUUCAGUCUGUUGGACUCUUCAAACCAGGUUCUUGAAUACUUAAGUUAGUAAAUACCAAAAUUUAUUUAAAGUGCUUGUUUAGAAUAUAAACUCUUAAUGAUAUCUUAUUCAUUAAAAACGUUGUAUAGAAG